AGCUCUGUAAGCGUAUACCAAAGUUGUUGCAGUUAAAACGCUCGUAGUCGGAAUUUGGCGGUUCCGGUUGGGCGCGAAUCGCUCGUGCACUUCGCAGGGACUGCUUUUGUGGUGUUGCGUGGGAUGAGGCACUUAACUGUGAACGUCCUUACGCACCCACUCUUUACUGUGAGAAAAUCAGAGUGCUCAAAGCAGGCGAUUGCCGUGAAUGUAUUAGCAUGGAAUAAUAGAAUAGGACUUGGUCUUAUUUUGUUGGUUUGUUAAGGUCGAGUAAUGAUUAAGAGGGACAGUUGGGGGCAUUUGUAUUCCGGCGCUAGAGGUGAAAUUCUUAGAUUGCCGGAAGACAAACUGCUGCGAAAGCGUCUGCCAAGGAUGUUUUCA
rnacentral:rRNA from 1 species